AGCAGAUGGAUUUCAGACGCGUUUCACGAUGAGCAGAGAUCAGCAGUUUGUCAUUUGCUCUAGCACAGAGAGCUCUCAGGCCGGAGAGAAAGGUGUCGAAUUUGGAAUUUUGGGGAUUCUGGAGAUCCAGAGAAUUUGGAGUUCUGGGAAAUGGAAUCAGAAUUGGAAUCGAGGGAAAAUAACUGUUGCCUCGUGCUAAGCCGCCGAUGUAAAACACGAGGAUGCGUGUGCUGACCGCACACAUCCGGACAAAUGUCUUAUCGACAUGGGGUCGUGUGCACACGUGUGACGAGAAACUGUCCGCACCAGGUUCGCUUGCAGGUUACUCAUUGUACGUGUCGAAUAAUGUCUCAACCGAGUGAUGGUCGACUUCAAGAAUGAUCUAUUAUGAAAGAAGGUUAUAUAGAUAGAACUAAACGGCGUUACUGACAUCGACCAAGAUCAUCUGCCAUCUUCGAUGAAUCACAGAAAAUAGUUCUUUAUAGCUGAUCAGGAUUCUUGAUUAUACUUCUUGAUAGUAUGACGACAUACGCUAACAUGCAAAACAUUUAAAUCAUACAGUAGUGACUA
rnacentral:lncRNA from 1 species